GAACGGCGGUCGGUCAGUCUUUUUCUUCUGUUGAUGCUGAGACUGAUGCUUUGACUGUCUCCCAUAUCAUUCGAUAAUAAAGAUCCACUACUUGCCUUGUCGACGCUAAACUCAGUACCUCGUUUCCUUACUAGUACACCUACUAGACCCAUACUCAUUACGAAUGUGUUCACCAGACAUCUGACUUAGCAACCUUCUGCUUAGACCGGAAAGGAUAAGGAAGGAGAUCUAUGGAUAAUGGGAUAUAGAAGUCAGGUGCAACGGUCAGCUCAGCCAGAGAGGAAGCGGUCAUGCAAGGUUAUCGUCAGACAAUGUAGUGCAAGCGACGGGUAGCACUUGCCAUAUGAAGAAGGCGACUACAAUGGGAGACGAAGGCGACGUGGGCUUGCCAUAUAGAUGUAGCGCUUGCAAGGCAAUUCAGACGACGUUAGCAAGAUGUAGCGCUAGCUAGGUUAGGGUAGCGCUUGCCAUAAAGAAGCUAGCCAGAAAGCAGGUCAGGCAGGCGAGCGAUAGUACAAGCAAGCUAACACGCGGGCGAGGUUGAAGGGGUCUUGCGCAACCUUCGGAUUAUCGCAAGCGCAACCUUUGACCCCUUCGUCGACAACUUGCAAGGUAAUUCAGACGACGUUACCAAGAUGUAGCGCUAGCUAGGCUAGGGUAGCGCUUUCCAUAAAGAAGCUAACCAGAGAGCAGGUCAGGCAGGUGAGCGAUAGUACAAACAAGCUAACACGCGGGCGAGGUUGAAGGGGUCUUGCGCAACCUUCGGAUUAUCGCAAGCGCAACCUUUGACCCCUUCGUCGACAACCUCUCAUUUGUUCGACUACUCGCGGGGCCUGCUGCGUUUAGGUAUAAGAAGCCCCACCCGGGAAAAGAGUGUAAAGCAGUACUCAUGUUAAAUUGUGUCCCUUGUAAACGAAAGAGCUCAUGCCAUAAAUUGCUAA
rnacentral:lncRNA from 1 species